AAAGAAACCACCCGCCCCUCGUCAUCGUCCUUCCCCCUCCCCUCCUACCACGAGCGAUUCCCACCACCCAUCCCGAGCGCCGCCAGCCCCCCACUCCCCGGCGAGCUGCCCCAUCCUGAGCGCCGCCAGCCUCCCCCAACCUCCGGUGCCUCCCCGAUCCGCCACCUCCAUGCGGUGGCCAACUCCUCUGCCAGAUCGCGCCACGCGCAGCCGUACCCACUGUCCCGCCGGCGCCAGCGGCCCAACCCAGGUGGCGCUUCGACGGACCUCCUCCCGGCGAGGCCCGACGCCAACGCCGGGGAUCUCCAGGAGCGGUCGUCCCCUGCUGCGGAUCGCGCCGCCGCCGUCCCCAGCGCUUCUAUACAACCUUCGCCGACCGCCGCCACCAAUCUUCAGAUCCGAUGCGUCUCCUUGAGCUCCCAAGCGAUGACACCGGCAAAUCUAGGUUGGUGCCAUCCAUCUCCUCUCGCCCCCUGGCAAGGCUCCCCCGUCACAACGCAGCCAAGCUGCAGCAUCAAACUGGCCGUUCAACACCGCCGGCUUGGGACGUUCAAUGACGCGGCCCCAUGAUGUUCGUUGUCGCAGCGCCUGGAUCACACUGUCACCAUGCUUCACGAGGCCGAGAUAUUUUCAUUCUUCAUUCGUCGACAUCGGAUUGAACUAAGAAGUCAGGUUCGCAAGUGUCAUGUUCGGCUGUUCGCCGCAGCAGCCCGGAGGUGCUCCUGCAGCCGACCAAGAACAGGGCUGGGACAGGGAUACUUUUGUUCUCAAACACGUCGCUGCGUAUGUGUGUGUAUGAACAUUUUACUCCAUGUUGUUCUUUACAUUCUGUCAUCUCCUAUAGAGUUUAUGAUGCAUAAUGACUAUUGGAUGGAUUAUUUGUUCAUGUGAAUGAAUGCAUUUUGUCUCUCAAACAAGAAUUAUGUGUUGGUUAUCACGUGCCAUAACAAACUUAUUCUUUGGGGAUCUUUGUAUGUAAAGUGUAUCAUUCAAGAAGGUAUGUGUUGC
rnacentral:rRNA from 1 species